ACCACAUUUUGUCAAAAUAGCAAUAGAAGUUGAACUGGGGGAAUGAUGACUUUGAAUGAUGACUAACGGUGUUUGCGAGAUGGUUAGGGGUUAUAAGCUGUUGGUUGGAAAAUGUCAAUGAAUGGAAGGUUUUCUGAGAGACUAACUGGAGAGGCAUAUCUUAAUCGGGAUUUUGAAGCUUUGAGAGUGUCUCGGCGGCUUGUGAGAAGUGUUAGUCAGAAGUUGAAGAAAACAAACAACAGAUUUGAAGGAGAUGCGGAGGAUGAUGCGAGGGGGAUUUCUGCAAAAUGUCUUCCUUUAUAUGGCAGGGGGGGGGGUUG
rnacentral:misc_RNA from 1 species